UAGGUAUUUCAGCAAAGACUAGAUGGUUCUUUAGACUUCUACAGGAACUGGAAAAAUUACACAGAUGGUUUUGGAGAUUUGAAUCAUGAAUUUUGGCUAGGGAAUGAAAAUCUACAUAUCAUUACAAGCAAUGGAAAUUAUAUUCUACGUGUUGAGCUUGGAGAUUCAGAAGGGAAUUGUUCCUACGCAGAUUUCGCAACAUUUAAUGUCGGAGACUACAAUUCCAAAUACACACUUGAGGCAACUGAAUGCACAGGACCUGCCGGAAAUAGUUUGCUUGGUCAUAAUGGUCAGAAGUUUAGUACCUUUGACAAUGAUAAUGAUAGCGAUGCUGGUAGAAACUGUGCAGUUAAUGUACGUGGAGGAUGGUGGUAUAAGGCUUGCUUCCAGUCUAACUUGAAUGGUGUCUACGAUCCUGAGAUAGGCAAUGCAGGAAUAAGGUGGAAGGACUGGCAACUUAAAGUAGAUUUCAAAUAUACAAGGAUGAUGGUUAAAAGAUAUCAAUGAUAUGAAGUACUAUGUAAUAGAAAUGGUGUUUAGGGUUUUUAUGUUUACUAUUCUUGCAUGGAUACUUUUUGAGACUAUAUUAUUUGAUUGUUAGACAAUGUUGAUUUUUUUAAGCUGCACUUACAUUGAUGAUAAAAACAAAACAGAUUGCUGAUUUUGGCUUUAGUACUGAUUCACUUAUAGGGUAUUUGCAUCGGAAAAUCAACACAUUUAUUCUUAAACCAGUUGAUGCCAGGAUACAGGUUUGUUCUUCUCAUAUAUUUUAUGAUGGUAUUACACUAACCACUAACGGGAGGGAUUCGUAUGUACCAAGUUUUAGAUUAAUUUUAAGGACAUACAAGAUAUUUCUGGGUAUUCCUAAACGGAAAAUUGUAUAGACAUAAGAAGUAUACUUAACAACAAAAUUAUUUUCAUUUAACUGUGUAUAAUAUGACGUAAUGUUUUUAAAGUUUUAUGUUGUUCUUAAAUUAUUUAUCAUUUCA